rnacentral:rRNA from 1 species
CUACGUGCCAGCAGCCGCGGUAAUACGGGGGGUGCGAGCGUUAAUCGGAAUAACUGGGCGUAAAGGGCACGCAGGCGGUGACUUAAGUGAGAUGUGAAAGCCCCGGGCUUAACCUGGGAAUUGCAUUUCAUACUGGGUCGCUAGAGUACUUUAGGGAGGGGUAGAAUUCCACGUGUAGCGGUGAAAUGCGUAGAGAUGUGGAGGAAUACCGAAGGCGAAGGCAGCCCCUUGGGAAUGUACUGACGCUCAUGUGCGAAAGCGUGGGGAGCAAACAGGAUUAGAUACCCUGGUAGUCCACGCUGUAAACGAUGUCGAUUUGGGGGUUGGGCUUUAAGCUUGGCGCCCGUAGCUAACGUGAUAAAUCGACCGCCUGGGGAGUACGGCCGCAAGGUUAAAACUCAAAUGAAUUGACGGGGGCCCGCACAAGCGGUGGAGCAUGUGGUUUAAUUCGAUGCAACGCGAAGAACCUUACCUACUCUUGACAUCCAGA